rnacentral:rRNA from 1 species
UACGUAGGCAGCAAGCGUUGUUCGGAGUUACUGGGCGUAAAGCGUGCGCAGGCGGUUUUGUAAGCCGGAUGUGAAAUCCCCGGGCUUAACCUGGGAAUGGCAUUCGGGACUGCAAGGCUGGAGUGCGGCAGAGGAGACUGGAAUUCCUGGUGUAGCAGUGAAAUGCGUAGAUAUCAGGAGGAACACCGCUGGCGAAGGCAGGUCUCUGGGCUGACACUGACGCUCAUGCACGAAAGCGUGGGGAGCAAACAGG